AUUGAACGCUGGCGGCAUGCCUUACACAUGCAAGUCGAACGGCAGCGCGGGGCAACCUGGCGGCGAGUGGCGAACGGGUGAGUAAUAUAUCGGAACGUGCCCUGGAGUGGGGGAUAACGUAGCGAAAGUUACGCUAAUACCGCAUACGAUCUAAGGAUGAAAGUGGGGGAUCGCAAGACCUCAUGCCCCUGGAGCGGCCGAUAUCUGAUUAGCUAGUUGGUGGGGUAAAGACCUACCAAGGCAUCGAUCAGUAGCUGGUCUGAGAGGACGACCAGCCACACUGGAACUGAGACACGGUCCAGACUCCUACGGGAGGCAGCAGUGGGGAAUUUUGGACAAUGGGCGCAAGCCUGAUCCAGCAAUGCCGCGUGAGUGAAGAAGGCCUUCGGGUUGUAAAGCUCUUUUGUCAGGGAAGAAACGGUGAGGGCUAAUAUCCUUUGCUAAUGACGGUACCUGAAGAAUAAGCACCGGCUAACUACGUGCCAGCAGCCGCGGUAAUACGUAGGGUGCAAGCGUUAAUCGGAAUUACUGGGCGUAAAGCGUGCGCAGGCGGUUUUGUAAGUCUGUCGUGAAAUCCCCGGGCUCAACCUGGGAAUUGCGAUGGAGACUGCAAGGCUAGAAUCUGGCAGAGGGGGGUAGAAUUCCACGUGUAGCAGUGAAAUGCGUAGAGAUGUGGAGGAACACCGAUGGCGAAGGCAGCCCCCUGGGUCAAGAUUGACGCUCAUGCACGAAAGCGUGGGGAGCAAACAGGAUUAGAUACCCUGGUAGUCCACGCCCUAAACGAUGUCUACUAGUUGUCGGGUUUUAAUUAACUUGGUAACGCAGCUAACGCGUGAAGUAGACCGCCUGGGGAGUACGGUCGCAAGAUUAAAACUCAAAGGAAUUGACGGGGACCCGCACAAGCGGUGGAUGAUGUGGAUUAAUUCGAUGCAACGCGAAAAACCUUACCUACCCUUGACAUGUACGGAAUCCCGAAGAGAUUUGGGAGUGCUCGAAAGAGAGCCGUAACACAGGUGCUGCAUGGCUGUCGUCAGCUCGUGUCGUGAGAUGUUGGGUUAAGUCCCGCAACGAGCGCAACCCUUGUCAUUAGUUGCUACGAAAGAGCACUCUAAUGAGACUGCCGGUGACAAACCGGAGGAAGGUGGGGAUGACGUCAAGUCCUCAUGGCCCUUAUGGGUAGGGCUUCACACGUCAUACAAUGGUACAUACAGAGGGCCGCCAACCCGCGAGGGGGAGCUAAUCCCAGAAAGUGUAUCGUAGUCCGGAUUGUAGUCUGCAACUCGACUACAUGAAGUUGGAAUCGCUAGUAAUCGCGGAUCAGCAUGUCGCGGUGAAUACGUUCCCGGGUCU
rnacentral:rRNA from 1 species